rnacentral:rRNA from 1 species
UGGGGGAAUAUUGCACAAUGGGCGCAAGCCUGAUGCAGCAACGCCGCGUGAGGGAUGACGGCCUUCGGGUUGUAAACCUCUUUUAGCNGGGAAGAAGCGAAAAGUGACGGUACCUGCAGAAAAAGCACCGGCUAACUACGUGCCAGCAGCCGCGGUAAUACGUAGGGUGCAAGCGUUGUCCGGAAUUAUUGGGCGUAAAGAGCUCGUCAGGCGGUCUGUGCGCGUCUGCUGUGAAAUCCCGAGGCUCAACCUCGGGCCUGCAGUGGGUACGGGCAGACUAGAGUGCGGUAGGGGAGAAUGGAACUCCUGGUGUAGCGGUGGAAUGCGCAGAUAUCAGGAAGAACACCGAUGGCGAAGGCAGUUCUCUGGGCCGUAACUGACGCUGAGGAGCGAAAGCGUGGGGAGCGAACAGGAUUAGAUACCCUGGUAGUCCACGCCGUAAACGUUGGGCGCUAGAUGUGGGGACCAUUCCACGGUUUCCGUGUCGCAGCUAACGCAUUAAGCGCCCCGCCUGGGGAGUACGGCCGCAAGGCUAAAACUCAAAGGAAUUGACGGGGUCAUAGCUG